UCCACUACAUUCAGAUUACUGUUUGUCAAGCCUGUGGGGCUCUGGAAAAUCCUCAACUCUUGAUUUUCUGUUCAACUUGUAACAAUAAUGCUGAACACCUGUAUGUAUGGAUAUAUAUUCUUUCUAUCUUGCAGAUGUGGUGGUGUUUCAAAUUCUUUUUCAUUUCUUCUUUUCUGCAGGUAUUGCUUGACAGAAUAUGAGGAAUGUCUUGGGGAUUUUAUUUGGUCUUGUGAGGAAUGUACACAGCAUAUAAUCCCCACAACCAGUCUAUGCCAAGAGGAGGGUAAGUGAGAACCAAAUGUUUGUAGUUUUCUUACAUUAAUUCCAAUGAAAUUUUAAAAAAUAUUUAUAAAUCAAAACACUUUUGUCUUCUAUUCUAUCCAAAUUUCCAAUGUUUGGGAUUUUGCAUUUUUUACUCACCAUAAAUUAUUUAAAUACACUCCGUUUCUGUAACGGUGUCUACGUGCCGGCAUCUUCGUUCGUUAUGCAUCGCAUGGUUCGAUUUUGGGACGGCACGACGGGUCAUGUCUCGGCACAAAUUCAUUUGCCUACGCCGGUGUCUACAGGUAGAGGUAUGGGUUGCAAUGUACGUCGUCCGGUGGAUAAUUUCACCGUCGUUCAUUGUCCGGACUGUGAACGACACAGCGGGUCCAAUCGGACACCCCAGGUCCCCUCGACGGAGUCCUUAUUUGAACUGGUUCGUAUUUUGGGUAAUUUACUAAAUACCCCUU
rnacentral:lncRNA from 1 species